CCUACGGGUGGCAGCAGUGGGGAAUAUUGGACAAUGGGCGAAAGCCUGAUCCAGCCAUGCCGCGUGUGUGAAGAAGGCCUACGGGUUGUAAAGCACUUUCAGUGGGGAAGAAAGCCUUGGGGCUAAUACCCUCGAGGAAGGACAUCACCCACAGAAGAAGCACCGGCUAACUCCGUGCCAGCAGCCGCGGUAAUACGGAGGGUGCGAGCGUUAAUCGGAAUUACUGGGCGUAAAGCGCGCGUAGGCGGUCUGAUAAGCCGGUUGUGAAAGCCCCGGGCUCAACCUGGGAACGGCAUCCGGAACUGUCAGGCUAGAGUGCAGGAGAGGAAGGUAGAAUUCCCGGUGUAGCGGUGAAAUGCGUAGAGAUCGGGAGGAAUACCAGUGGCGAAGGCGGCCUUCUGGACUGACACUGACGCUGAGGUGCGAAAGCGUGGGUAGCAAACAGGAUUAGAUACCCGAGUAGUC
rnacentral:rRNA from 1 species